AAAACGACUCUCGGCAACGGAUAUCUCGGCUCUCGCAUCGAUGAAGAACGUAGCGAAAUGCGAUACUUGGUGUGAAUUGCAGAAUCCCGUGAACCAUCGAGUCUUUGAACGCAAGUUGCGCCCGAAGCCAUCAGGCCGAGGGCACGCCUGCCUGGGCGUCACAC
rnacentral:rRNA from 3 species